GGGGAAUCUUGCGCAAUGGGGGCAACCCUGACGCAGCGACGCCGCGUGCGGGACGAAGGCCUUCGGGUCGUAAACCGCUUUCAGCAGGGACGAGGCCGCAAGGUGACGGUACCUGCAGAAGAAGCCCCGGCUAACUACGUGCCAGCAGCCGCGGUAAUACGUAGGGGGCGAGCGUUAUCCGGAUUCAUUGGGCGUAAAGCGCGCGUAGGCGGCCUGUUAGGUCGGUAGUCAAAUCCGGGGGCUCAACCCCCGUCCGCUUCCGAUACCGGCAGGCUUGAGUCUGGUAGGGGAAGGUGGAAUUCCCAGUGUAGCGGUGGAAUGCGCAGAUAUUGGGAAGAACACCGGUGGCGAAGGCGGCCUUCUGGGCCACGACUGACGCUGAGGCGCGAAAGCUAGGGGAGCGAAC
rnacentral:rRNA from 1 species